rnacentral:rRNA from 1 species
CCUACGGGUGGCAGCAGUGGGGAAUAUUGGACAAUGGGGGGAACCCUGAUCCAGCCAUGCCGCGUGUGUGAAGAAGGCCCUCGGGUUGUAAAGCACUUUCAGUGAGGAAGAACGCCUGGUGGUUAAUACCCAUCAGGAAAGACAUCACUCAUAGAAGAAGCACCGGCUAACUCCGUUCCAGCAGCCGCGGUAAUACGGAGGGUGCGAGCGUUAAUCGGAAUUACUGGGCGUAAAGCGCGCGUAGGUGGCUUGAUAAGCCGGUUGUGAAAGCCCCGGGCUCAACCUGGGAACGGCAUCCGGAACUGUCAAGCUAGAGUGCAGGAGAGGAAGGUAGAAUUCCCGGUGUAGCGGUGAAAUGCGUAGAGAUCGGGAGGAAUACCAGUGGCGAAGGCGGCCUUCUGGACUGACACUGACACUGAGGUGCGAAAGCGUGGGUAGCAAACAGGAUUAGAUACCCGAGUAGUC